UGCACUCACUACUGUAAGUCGCUCUGGUUAAGAGCGUCUGCUAAAUGACCAUUU
rfam:Salmo salar isolate Sally breed double haploid chromosome ssa09, whole genome shotgun sequence.